GAAGGAGUUCCUCAGACAGGAAGUGGAGACCAGUACUUUAGGAAGCCCUGCUGCUGCUGUUGCUGAGUGUCUAGAGCACCUGCAGUCCAGAUACUGGAUCUCUGCUCACCUGCACUCGACUCAACUCUGAUGCAGCACCAGAUUGUGGAGGAAUCUUCUAGGAGAAGCUUGAGUUUGAUCCAAAAUGGCUGGCCAUCCUGAAUUGGACAGACAAACCUUCAGAAACCAACCCACAGUUGCUGGAACCCCUUCGCUGGACAACAGACAACACAGCAGAUACAAAACACAUGACAAUGAUCACAGUUGCUCAUUUUCUGAAAGCUUUCUGAUACCACAUAUUCGUUUCUAUUUCUAAAUGUUUUAGCAUCCUGUUCCUCUGCUUCUUUCAGGUGGGAUUUCAG
ensembl:processed_transcript